ACCAUCGUAAAAAAAAAAAAAAAAAAAAAGCCCCUUUUCUCACUCUCUCUCUUCCCGAAAUCUAGUUAAGCGUUGCCAUGGAAUUUAUGUUUGCAUAUUUAAAUGCCAUCACAGCAGGACUUAUUGCCAUACUUCUGUUCGCCUGCUAUAUAAGGAGGUCUACAGCCGCCAAGAAACCUCAACCGCCCAAAGCCGCUGGUGCGUGGCCCAUAAUUGGUCAUCUCCCUUUGUUAACAGGAUCCCAAGUUCCCCACAUAUCGUUGGGAGCUUUAGCUGACAAGUACGGACCAAUCUUCACCAUUCAGAUUGGGAUACACCAAGCCUUGGUGGUGAGCUCUUGGGAAUUGGCUAAGGAAAUUUUCACUACCAACGAUAUAGCCGUGUCUGGCCGCCCUAAUUUCACUGCGGUAAAGUACCUGGGCUACGAUAGUGUCAUGUUCGGGUUUGCACCAUAUGGAGAUUAUUGGCGUGAAAUGCGCAAGAUAAUAUCCGUGGAACUAUUCUGUAGUCGCCAGAUUGAGUUACGCAAGCACGUUAUAGAAUCUGAAGUUGAAACGUCCAUAAAAGAGCUCCACAAAUUCUGGACGGAGAAAGAGAAUGGCUCAGGCCACGUUUCAGUUGAGUUGAAACAAUGGUUCGGUGACUUAGGUCUUAACGUGAUUCUUAGAAUAAUUGUGGGGAUGAGGCACUUUAGUGCUACUGCUGGGAGUGAUAGAAAAGAAGUGGACCGGUGCCGUAAGGCGAUGAGAGAAUUCUUUGAUUUUCUGGGGCUGUUUGUUUUGAGGGAUGCAAUACCUUUUCUUGGUUGGCUGGAUGUGGGUGGACAUGAGAAGUGCAUGAAAAAAGCUGCUAAAGAACUUGACGAGCUUGUCAGUGAAUGGUUAGAGGAGCAUCGCAAGAAGAGAGAUUCUGGUGACUUGGCUAAAAAAGAUCAAGACUUCAUGGAUGUCAUGCUUUCGGUUCUUGAAGAAACUCAAUUUGUAGGUUACGACUCUGAUAUGAUCAACAAGUCUGCAUGUUUGAAUUUAAUUGCGGGGGGCAGUGAUACCACUACAAUUGUCCUGACAUGGAUAGUUUCAUUACUGCUGAACAACAGGCACGUAUUGAAGAAAGCACAAGAAGAAUUAGCCAUGCUGGUUGGCAGAGAAAGACUAGUGAAUGAAUCAGAUAUUAGUAAAUUAAUUUAUCUCCAAGCAAUAAUCAAAGAAACACUGCGAUUGUAUCCACCAGCUCCAUUGUCAGGACCUCGAGAAAUUAUAGAGGAUUGCACCAUCAGUGGCUACCAUGUAAAGAAAGGAACUAGGCUGAUUCCAAACCUUUGGAAGAUCCACACAGACCCACGCAUAUGGCCAAAUCCAUUGGAGUUUAAGCCAGAGAGAUUUCUUACUAGCCAUAAGCACAUUGACGUUAAGGGACAAAAUUUCGAAUUGAUCCCAUUCGGAAGUGGUAGAAGAGCAUGCCCUGGAACAUCAUUUGGCCUUCCAACGGUACACAUAGCAUUGGCUAGCUUUCUACAAGCUUUUGAGAUAUUAAAUCCUACAAGUGGACCUAUUGACAUGACUGAGAGUCCUGGAUUAACGAACAUCAAAGCCACCCCACUUGAAAUUUUGGUUUCGCCACGCCUGCCUCUUGAGCUUUACAACAUACUAUGAAUAUUAGUGCAAAUCAAUAUCAAUAAAUUAUAAAUAUGUAAAAAAAAUUUUUUUUAC
rnacentral:misc_RNA from 1 species